UUACCCUGAUUGUUUAUGCAAAAUGAAUUAUUGAAUCCCCAAUCGAAGUUCUUGAAAGUUGAGAUGGUUAAGAGUUCUGGGCGUUUUGCCAAGGACAAGUGUUGGCUACCGAAACCCAAUCAUCUAGAACCUUCGACCUCAAGUGGUAUUAUCGAAUUUUUCCUAGAAACCCAUGUCGACUGAUUUACGUAAUUGAACGGUUGAACGUCAUUUUAGGGUUGCCAGGGUUCACCGUAAUUAUUCUUUCGUUUCCUAGAACAUAAUCUGUACUUCCGCUGGAUAUCUUGUGAGAAAAACAGCAGAAGCUUCAAUGAGAAGCCACUCUUAAUUUAAAGAAUCGCCGGUACCUUUUCUAAAGAGCCAAACCGGGUUCUCUCAUUCCCUGUUUAGCUUCCGUAUAGACGACGUGGCAUACCUUGUUUGUUGCGAGGAGUUCAGUUCUCGGGAAACGGAAAAGCUCUAUUCAUAAGUAUCUUUCAGGGCAACUCAACUUGAAUCUCUAUUAAGGAUGAUGGAAUUAGAAGCGGAGCUCCUGGUCAAACUGUUAUUUAUUUUUGGAUUAUUGUUCUUACUUUGGGUAUGGUCCUUCUGGAAAGAUGUACAAGACAACAACGAAUUUUAUCCAGAUGGCCUUGAACAAUGUCCUCAAGAGACGUACACGAUUCUUGAAAAUGACAGUAGCAAUAGUAGCAGGAUCAGGUGCUUAUCCUGCCCUGUAUGUCCACCAGGGGAGGAACCAUCACCACCAUGUGGUAUAACAUUGGUCAGAAGGGCAGCUGGUGAGUGUACUUCCUGCAGUCCAGGGACUUAUUCAGAUGAGACUGGCAGUACUGCCUGUAAGGUAUGCUCUGUUUGUGACUCCAGGAAGAUUAUCAACUCCUGUACUGCACAGAAAGACACAGAAUGCAAGGACUGCCCAUUGAGGCACUACGAAG